UACGAAGGGGGCUAGCGUUGUUCGGAAUUACUGGGCGUAAAGGGAGCGUAGGCGGAUAGUUAAGUCAGAGGUGAAAGCCCAGGGCUCAACCUUGGAAUUGCCUUUGAUACUGGCUAUCUUGAGUAUGGGAGAGGUUAGCGGAACUCCGAGUGUAGAGGUGAAAUUCGUAGAUAUUCGGAAGAACACCAGUGGCGAAGGCGGCUAACUGGCCCAUUACUGACGCUGAGGCUCGAAAGCGUGGGGAGCAAACAGG
rnacentral:rRNA from 1 species